rnacentral:rRNA from 1 species
GACAAACGCUGGCGGCGUGCAUAAAACAUGCAAGUCGAACGGACUUCAAUCCGCAAGGACUGAAGUGAGUGGCGAACGGCUGAGUAACACGUAGGUGACCUGCCCCGAAGUUUGGGAUAACAACUCGAAAGAGUUGCUCAUACCGGAUGUGACCACCGAUUCAUUUCGGUGCUUAAAGUCGCAAGACGCUUUGGGAGGGGCCUGCGGCGGAUUAGCUAGUUGGUGUGGUAACGGCAUACCAAGGCUUCGAUCCGUAGCUGGUCUGAGAGGAUGGCCAGCCAGACUGGGACUGAGACACGGGCCCAGACUCCUACGGGAGGCAGCAGUUAGGAAUUUUUGCGCAAUGGAGGAAACUCUGACGCAGCCACGCCGCGU